rnacentral:rRNA from 1 species
AGAACGAACGCUGGCGGCAGGCUUAACACAUGCAAGUCGAGCGAUCGCAGCAAUGCGGGAGCGGCAGACGGGUGAGUAACGCGUGGGAACGUACCCUCCGGUUCGGAAUAACUCAGGGAAACUUGAGCUAAUACCGGAUACGGUCGAGAGGCGAAAGAUUCAUCGCCGGAGGAUCGGCCCGCGUUCGAUUAGCUAGUUGGCGGGGUAAUGGCCCACCAAGGCGACGAUCAGUAGCUGGUCUGAGAGGAUGACCAGCCACAUUGGGACUGAGACACGGCCCAAACUCCUACGGGAGGCAGCAGUGGGAAUAUGGACAAUGGGCGCAAGCCUGAUCCAGCCAUGCCGCGUGGAUGAUGAAGGCCUUAGGGUUGUAAAGUCCUUUUAACGGGGAAGAUAAUGACGGUACCCGUAGAAUAAGCCCGGCUAACUUCGUGCCAGCAGCCGC